rnacentral:rRNA from 1 species
AGUGAACGCUGGCGGUAGGCCUAACACAUGCAAGUCGAACGGCAGCACAGUAAGCGCUUGCUCUUACGGGUGGCGAGUGGCGGACGGGUGAGGAAUACAUCGGAUUCUACUUUUUCGUGGGGGAUAACGUAGGGAAACUUACGCUAAUACCGCAUACGACCUACGGGUGAAAGCAGGGGAUCUUCGGAGUUUGCGCGUUUGUAUGAGCUGAGGCCGAAUUAGCUAGUUUGGGAGGUAAAGGCCCACCAAGGCGACGAUACGUAGCUGGUCUGACAGGAUGAUCAGCCACACUGGAACUGAGACACGGUCCAGACUCCUACGGGAGGCAGCAGUGGGGAAUAUUGGGCAAUGGGCGCAAGCCUGAUCCAGCCAUACCGCGUGAGUGAUGAAGGCCUUCGGGUUGUAAAGCCCUUUUGUUGGGAAAGAAAAGAAGCAUAUUAAUACGCCGCUGUUCUGACGGUACCCAAAGAAUAAGCACCGGCUAACUUCGUG